ACAGAACAGAAAAAAGGUAUAAAAUUCACCAAUUCUUGUAUAUACUUCGAGCAUGUUUGGGAAGUAUAUAUAAACGGUUUAAAUUAUAAAUAGAUAGAAAUGAGUGGUGGAUGAGUAAAUGAGCGUUUAUAAACAUGAGCCAAACAUAGGCUUAAAUGAUUGCAAGGUUUAUAUGUCCCCUUGAUAGAAAUGCCAAGGGACCUAUUCUGACGAUUUUCCUUCAAAUGCAAAACAACACCAACCAAAAAAAGGAUAAUUUAUUGAUCUAUAAUUUCAAAGUGACGGCGUUUUAACUGAAUUACAAUAUGAUGAUUGUUCGUGUGUAUAUGCAAAAGUUUUUCCAAAUUCAUUCUGUAUCCUAUCUAGCUUUUAGUUAUGAAAUAGUAUGACAGGACCACAGAUUAAUAAGUAAAAAAAAGAUGUUUUACAAGAAUAUUAUUAUAAUCAUAAAUUACUUGAGUGUCUAAAAUACCCCCUCUCUUGAAGAAAGUAGAAUAGCAAUGCAUUCUAUUGAAGUGCCAGCAACUGCAAUCUAAAUAGACCAAAAUACAGAUGAUGCAGAACUAAUACACUCUUUCAAAUUGGCAGAAAAUUAAUAAAGCUGUCCAGAAAAUUAAUAAAGAGUUCAGAUAUAUACAUUAGACCAAGCAAAAUGGAAAAAGAAAAUCAUUUUUUGAAUCUUGGCAUAUACUCUAUUGAUAGCAGAUUUUCAUAAUUAAGAAAAUAGCGAGUGCUCAAUUACGGUACCCGAUUAUGUAACGCGCCGAAAAUUUUAUAGAAAAAUUUAUUUGUUCUAUAUACUAUAUUUUUGAAAGUUGAAGGACUAAAGUGAAAAAGUAUUAAAUUCAAUAUUAUUUUGGGUCAAAUAAUUAUUUCACAACAUAAUAUAUUAUUUCACAACAUAAUAUAUUAGAGAGAGAGAGAGAGAGAGAGAGAGAAUGAAAUAAUUUUAGAAAGCAAAGAGAAAUUUCGAUUUUGUUAUUUUGAUGUAGUCAAGAAAUUUUAAGUUGGAAUGUGAUUAUGAUUUUGGUUUUGGUUUUGUUUCUCCAAAAAUUUAUUUGAUUUGACAAGGUAGGAUAACGAGGUGUUGUUGCUUUUAUCCCGUUUAAAUUGUUUACUUCAUGUUAUUAAAUUAUUAUGCUUAUGAAAGUUUAAAAAUAUGAUAUGAUAUGUAUGUUAUGGCCAUCCAAUACUAAAGAUAUGAUAUUUAUUGAACUCUUACUGAUUUUUUUUGGGAUUGCACCAUGAUUUUUCGUGUCCUACUGAAUAUUUCCAUGUACUCACCCUUUUCCCCUACUUCUCACGGAUUAGAACGGGUUGUUAGUUGGCGGGCGAUGAGGUGCAAUCAUGAUACCAGGUAUUAUGGAACCCAAUAAUAAUAAUUCGGUGAAAUUUGACCAUGGAUUUUAUUUCAAUUUUUGUUUUAGUUUCAUUAUUAUUAUGGAAAUUGUUAUUUAGAGUUAAGAACAUGUUUAUUUGGUUAUGUUUUCCCUAUGUUUUAUUUUUAUUGGUGGAACCAAAAAUUUUGUGUUAAGAUGUUUGAUUCGUUUAUUUAAUUAUGGAAUGAAAGUUUUAGUAAUGAUUUAAAUGUUAAAAUUUGGGUCGUUACAAAUUAUCAUCAUAGAUUCUGGGACUUUUUUCUCUAAAUAAAAAACACCAACCAAAAGAAU
rnacentral:lncRNA from 1 species